AUUGAACGCUGGCGGCAGGCCUAACACAUGCAAGUCGAGCGAGCGGCGGACGGGUGAGUAAUGUAUGGGGACUGCCCGAUAGAGGGGGAUAACUACUGGAAACGGUAGCUAAUACCGCAUACUAUCGGAUAACCCAUAUGGGAUUAGCUAGUAGGUGAGGUAAUGGCUCACCUAGGCGACGAUCCCUAGCUGGUCUGAGAGGAUGAUCAGCAAAACUGGGACUGAGAAAGGGACAAGACUCGUCCGGCGGCGGCAGUGGGGAAGAUUGCACAAUGGGCGAAAGCCUGAUGCAGCCAUGCCGCGUGGAGGAGGAGGGCCCUAGGGUUGUAAAGUACUUUCAGUCGGGAGGCGUUACCGACAGAAGAAGCACCGGCUAACUCCGUGCCAGCAGCCGCGGUAAUAC
rnacentral:rRNA from 1 species